ACCUGCUCUGUUGAGGUACACCGAUGGGAAGCUAAACUCCAUCUACCUGUUCUGUUGAGGUACACCGAUGGGAAGCUAAACUCCAUCUACCUGUUCUGUUGAGGUACACCGAUGGGAAGCUAAACUCCACCUACCUGCUCUGUUGAGGUACACCGAUGGGAAGCUAAACUCCACCUACCUGCUCUGUUGAGGUACACCGAUGGGAAGCUAAACUCCACCUACCUGCUCUGUUGAGGUACACCGAUGGGAAGCUAAACUCCACCUACCUGCUCUGUUGAGGUACACCGAUGGGAAGCUAAACUCCACCUACCUGCUCUGUUGAGGUACACCGAUGGGAAGCUAAACUCCACCUACCUGCUCUGUUGAGGUACACCGAUGGGAAGCUAAACUCCACCUACCUGCUCUGUUGAGGUACACCGAUGGGAAGCUAAACUCCACCUACCUGCUCUGUUGAGGUACACCGAUGGGAAGCUAAACUCCACCUACCUGCUCUGUUGAGGUACAC